UUGGUUUACGCGCGUAUGAGCUGCGUAGAUGCGUGACAUGCGCUAAAGCAACAUUGUAGCCGCGUUAGCCGCGUAUGAGCUGCGUAUAUACGCACCUAACGCACCUACGCGCCUACACAAGGAGUUCAAAAAAUUUAACUUUUUACGCUCCUACGCAUGACGAUUAGCCGCGUUGCCCAAUCAGCGUUGAGCUUGACCCGACGUCACUGGCAGAGAGACGGAGAGGACAGAACAGAAAUGGAGGACCAAAACCUGAUAGUAGCAGUGUGCAGCCGUCCUGUCCUGUACGACACAACGAUGGUGUCGUACAGGGACAGGAACAAAAAAGAGAGGGCGUGGGUCGACGUGGCCGAGGAUACUGGCUUUCCUGGAUAUUCUGGAUACACUGGACGUCCCUGCUCUGAUGACGGAAUUCAUCAGCCCCACCCCAGAACGAAAGACCACCUUUGGAGUCCUACCAUCUACUUAAGUUCUUUGAAUGGGCGCAAGAGGAGGAUGGUUUGUAGGUCACCACUGUACCAGCCCAGCAGUGAGUCAGACCCAGAGGACGCUGAUGCUGCUCCUGCUCCUGCUCCUGCUCCUGCUCCUGCUCCUGCUCCUGCCCCUGUCCCUGUCCCUGCCGCUGGCCCUUCCUGUGUACCUGUCCCUGAGGCUGGCCCUGCCCCAAGACCACAGAGCGGGACGAAGAGGAAGAGAGCCAGGGUACCAGAGGGGAACACAAAUAUGCAGGGAGCCAUCCUCCAGGCCCUGCAGAGGCAAAAUGCUGUGCCUACCCCUACCCCGCUCUCUGGGAAUGAGCACUUUGUCAUGGGCCUAGUUCCUUCCCUGGAGAGAUUGCCACCUGAAGCACUGGAGUACGUUAAAUUCAAAAUUCGUAAGGUCAUAUUUGACAAUUUCACCCUUAAUUUGGAACCUUUUUAAGCCUAUUAGCUAGUGGUGGUGACAAUCUCUCCAGGGAAAGAACUAGGCUGAUGUCACUGUGCUACUGUUAACUGUUAAUUUGUUAUUGUUCUGUUAUGUUUAUAUCAUAUUGUUCUUAUGUUAUUUUUAUUAUUUUUAUUUUUAUUUUUUAAAUAAAAUAUUUCUCACAACUCUUCUC
ensembl:lncRNA